rnacentral:misc_RNA from 1 species
UCCGGUUUAACACCGGCAGUCUCCCUAGAGUCCCUUUUUGAGUUGGUAACUAAGGACAGGGGUUGCGCUCGUUAUCGGACUUAACCGGACAUCUUACGACACGAGCUGACGACAGCCAUGCAGCACCUAUCUCCACGUCCCCGAAGGGAAGACGACAUCUCUGCCGUGGUCGUGGGAUGUUAAGGGUAGGUAAGGUUCUGCGCGUUGCUUCGAAUUAAACCACAUACUCCACCGCUUGUGCGGGCCCCCGUCAAUUCCUUUGAGUUUUAGCCUUGCGACCGUACUCCCCAGGCGGGAUACUUAACGCGUUAGCUGUAGUACGCAGGAGGUUAACUUCCCGCACACUUAGUAUCCAUCGUUUACGGCGUGGACUAC